GAUGAAGAACGCAGCGAAAUGCGAUAAGUAAUGUGAAUUGCAGAAUUCAGUGAAUCAUCGAAUCUUUGAACGCACAUUGCGCCCGCCAGCAUUCUGGCGGGCAUGCCUGUUCGAGCGUCAUUUCAACCCUCAAGCUCUGCUUGGUGUUGGGGCCCUACGGUUGACGUAGGCCCUUAAAGGUAGUGGCGGACCCUCUCGGAGCCUCCUUUGCGUAGUAACUAACGUCUCGCAUUGGGAUUCGGAGGGACUCUUGCCGUAAAACCCCCAAAUUUUCUAAUGGUUGACCUCGGAUCAGGUAGGAAUACCCGCUGAACUUAAGCAUACCAAUAAGCGGAGGA
rnacentral:misc_RNA from 1 species